rnacentral:rRNA from 2 species
GGAAGUAAAAGUCGUAACAAGGUUUCCGUAGGUGAACCUGCGGAAGGAUCAUUACCUAGAGUUUGUAGACUUCGGUCUGCUACCUCUUACCCAUGUCUUUUGAGUACCUUCGUUUCCUCGGCGGGUCCGCCCGCCGAUUGGACAACAUUCAAACCCUUUGCAGUUGCAAUCAGCGUCUGAAAAAACAUAAUAGUUACAACUUUCAACAACGGAUCUCUUGGUUCUGGCAUCGAUGAAGAACGCAGCGAAAUGCGAUAAGUAGUGUGAAUUGCAGAAUUCAGUGAAUCAUCGAAUCUUUGAACGCACAUUGCGCCCCUUGGUAUUCCAUGGGGCAUGCCUGUUCGAGCGUCAUUUGUACCUUCAAGCUCUGCUUGGUGUUGGGUGUUUGUCUCGCCUCUGCGUGUAGACUCGCCUUAAAACAAUUGGCAGCCGGCGUAUUGAUUUCGGAGCGCAGUACAUCUCGCGCUUUGCACUCAUAACGACGACGUCCAAAAGUACAUUUUUACACUCUUGACCUCGGAUCAGGUAGGGAUACCCGCUGAACUUAAGCAUAUCAAUAAGCGGAGGA